UACGGGGGGGGGCAAGCGUUGCUCGGAAUCACUGGGCGUAAAGCGCACGUAGGCGGAUUCUUAAGUCGGGGGUGAAAUCCUGGAGCUCAACUCCAGAACUGCCUUCGAUACUGGCGAGCUCGAGUUCGGGAGAGGUGAGUGGAACUGCGAGUGUAGAGGUGAAAUUCGUAGAUAUUCGGAAGAACACCAGUGGCGAAGGCGACACACUGGCCCGUUACUGACGCUGAGGCUCGAAAGCGUGGGGAGCAAACAGG
rnacentral:rRNA from 1 species